UAGCGAGGUCAUUAACUCAAAAAACGGGCGUUGCCGUCGCCUCGCCAGACGCCGGCGCGGGCUCAUGGCCCGAGCUCAAAUCGAUGCCUCGUCGCCCGUUGUACGGCGCGGCGGCGACUCGGCGAUGGGGCGGGGCGAUCCGGUGCUCCCCGGGUUAAUUUUGGCGGCAAGGCGCGAAAGAUGGCGCGAAAUCCCCACGGGCACGCGUUCUUUCCCUCCUUUUAUUCUUCCCUCCCAUUCACAAAUCCAUUGCAGGAGCUUGGUCCUUCCCGGCGGCACAAUGGGGUCGGAGAACCAGCAAUCUGCAGCAGCGGCACGUGAGCUCCUAGUUGCGUCGACGGCACGCCAGCGAAAGGAUAUUGCGGCGCGGGCGAGGGCUCAAAAGCUCGGGACGUCUUCCAUGGUGAUGGCAGCGCACGGGAGGAAAGCUGCGACGGCGGCGCAGGAGCGGGGUCGUCCGCCCGUAGAGAAAAAGUUCAGCGGCCGAAGCCUCGCCGGUAACCCAUCAUUUGGCGCCCCGCCCCCCCCCCCCCCCCCCCCCCCCCCCCCCAACCAAGAUCGACCGGCGGCUGUAUGUUUCCGGCGAACCCAAGGUCCAAUGGCGGCAUGUCUCCGGCAGCCCCAACCUGACUUCGUCGACCAUGGCGCGGCAUCAAUCACAGUCUCAACCAUGGAUUCAUGGCGAUCCCAAAGAAUGAUACUGGGCUCAUGACGGAUGAGGAAAAGGUUGAUCAUGUUGGAACACUGAAGUAUUUGAAGAAGACAUUGUUUCCUGAUAUGUACUAAGGUAUCUGACCUGUUUGGCAUUGCUGUUGACACCUUUCCCUACAUGAUGUGGGCUGCAUCGACCUGUGUCAGAAUUAGUUCAGAGCUUAGAGUUCUUCCUGUGUCAGAGCUUAGUUUAAGAUUAGUUCAGAGCUUAGAGUUCUUCCUGUGUCAGAAUUAUCAUGGAAUUAUUCUGUAAUCUUUUGUUUUGGCCUACAUGUCUGAACAUGCUUUUCUGAAUGUGUGUGAAUGGAGUAAAAUGAACAGGUUCAACCAGCCA